rnacentral:rRNA from 1 species
GACGAACGCUGGCGGCGUGCCUAAUACAUGCCAGUAGAACGCUGAAGGAGGAGCUUGCUUCUCUGGAUGAGUUGCGAACGGGUGAGUAACGCGUAGGUAACCUGCCUGGUAGCGGGGGAUAACUAUUGGAAACGAUAGCUAAUACCGCAUAAUAGUAGAUGUUGCAUGACAUUUGCUUAAAAGGUGCAAUUGCAUCACUACCAGAUGGACCUGCGUUGUAUUAGCUAGUUGGUGGGGUAACGGCUCACCAAGGCGACGAUACAUAGCCGACCUGAGAGGGGGCUCGGCCACACUGGGACUGGGGCACGGCCCAGACUCCUGCGGGAGGCAGCAGUAGGGGAUCUUCGGCGAUGGCCGCAAGGCUGAACGAGCAACGCCGCGUGAGUGAAGGAGGUUUUCGGAUCGUAAAGCUCUGUUGGAAGUGAAGAACGUGUGUGAGAGUGGAAAGUUCACACUGUGACGGUAUCUUACCAGAAAGGGACGGCUAACUACGUG